AAUAAGGUAGUCAUCGACCAUGUAGUUACUGAUUCUCAAUUGGCUGAUAUAUUUUCUAAAUCUCUUGAAUACACUCGAUUUAUCACUCUAAGAAAUGCAAUUGGAGUAUGCAAUCUUGACCAUUGAGUCAAGAUGUGCAGAUAUUAGUGUAGGCACUUGCUCAGGAUGUACGUAUAAUUCAGAUUAUGUUUGGACCUGAGAACGCUGUGGAAAAGAGCUGCUUGUUGUGCCGUCAAUAUGUGAGGUACAGGUUUCGCGUCAAUCUAUGGUCCUUUCCUAAUCUCAAAAGAGCCAGUCACGUUUCAGAAAGAUGCUCAAAAGAAAAACAAAAACAAAAAGAGAAAAAUGGUGACAACAAGGGUUUCACAGCACGCGGAUAAAGGUUGAAAACCCACAUGAUUGAUAAAGGCAUGGCAAUGUGAAAGCUAGCCAUAAAAAGACAAUCAGGUGCACCAGAUCAUAAAAUCUUCAAAUAGUGAUACGUGCAACCUGAAUCAAGUGCUGAGCCAAGUCUUGCAGUACUCAUCUUAAAAGGUACAAAGAAUGAAUUUUUAAAUUAUGAGAUAAAGAUUGGUCAAUUGUGAGCUUUAACUCGUGUUUGAUUACUAUUCUGAGUCUUAUGAUACAAUAUUGAUUCACGAAUAUGCUUGCAUGACAUUGAGUUUGGAUGAGUGAAUUUGAAAGUACAGGUCAAAUAAGGAAAAAGGCUAAAAAGGAGGGACCGGAGUUGCAAUUUCGGAACAGUUGGUUGAGUUUCCCUCUUAAGGGAAGUUGUGCAUCAGAAACCCUAAACGGUUACUGUUUAAAAUCAAGAACUGCUCUUCAUCAUCUCGUUUGCUCUAAAUCAAAAGGCGAGUUUCUUGACAUCUAUUGUGAGAACGAAGAAGAUGGCUAAAUGCGAUGUUGCAAUUGCUUCUUCGUCACAUGCAGAGGAUGAAUCACUGAGGCCUCAUCUCACUGAUGAAGGAUCUGAGGCAACUUCUCCGAGAAACAAUCUACC
rnacentral:lncRNA from 1 species